CGCGUGGGAACAUACCUUUCGGUAAGGAAUAGCCACUGGAAACGGUGAGUAAUACCUUAUACGCCUUCGGGGAAGGAUUAUUCGCCGAGAGAUGGCCGCGUUAGAUUAGAUAGUUGGUGGGGUAACGGGCCUACCAAGUCUACGAUCUAUAGCUGGUUUUAGUAGGAUGAUCAGCCACACUGGGACUGAGACACGGCCCAGACUCCUACGGGAGGCAGCAGUGGGGAAUAUUGGACAAUGGGCGAAAGCCUGAUCCAGCAAUGCCGCGUGAGUGAUGAAGGCCUUAGGGUUGUAAAGCUC
rnacentral:rRNA from 1 species